GUUAGUUUCACCAAGUUCCAGGCACGGGGUGUGGGGCGCCGUUUGGAACCUGGGAAACCCACCAGGAGAGGGUGCAGAGCAUCUGUGGACCCUCAGACUCCACGAACUUGAAGGUCAGCUCAGCCCCAGGACCCUCACUGGACCCCCUCGGCACUGUUUACAUCACCCUCAGGUCCAGGCGCCUUCCUGGCGCAUGUGUACCAGAGCCUCAGAAGAUGCCCGAAUGUCAAGCCUUUUGCCCUGUCGGAGCCAGGGCUGUGGGGCCUGGUUUCCACAUUCCCUUGCGAGAGAUGCAGGGUCAGCGAGACGGCUCCCCUUCCCACGGGCCCCCGGUGCCCUGGCCCCAUCCCUGCUUGGAGCCCCGUCUGGUCUGCUGUCCAUUCCCCCUUUCCGGGCUGCCGUCUCCUAGGCGGUGGCGCUGUGUGCACAGGCUCCGUGUCUCCUGAGCCUGGGACACGUGUGUCUUCAAGCCCGCCUGCUGCUGUGCGUGCUGCGGUGUCCCCUUCGCGAGUCUGCAGUCAACCGCAAGGCGAGACCAUCUCCCCCACGGAGACCCAGGAAGAGGGAAAAGCGGGCCCGGAGAGGGCUAGGGUGAAGACCAGAGUGGGACACAGGGUUUUGCCCUGACUCCUGGCCUGGCCCCCCUGCAGGGCCCCCUCGCGGACCUGUCCCAGCUCAUCACCAUCCAUGUGAAUGGCGCCCCCUGGAGGUGCCGCCCCAGGUGCCGCCCCACCGCCGCCAUGCCGGAAGU